CAGAUAACGACGCUCUGCGUUUCCAUCUCGCUGAGCGCGUACGUGGCACUGUUCUGCCUGUUCUCACCCAAGAUCUACAUCAUCCUGUGCCAUCCGGACAAGAACGUGCGCAAGCUGACCAUGAACAGCGCCACCUACAAGAAGGCGCCCACCAGCAGCACGUGCGGCACCUCCGUCAACCACGGCACCUGCGGCACCGGUGAGUGCGCCGACCCAAGCUGCAGCUCGACGGCAGUUCGGGCGAGCAGCUGAAGUUGAGCCUCGCGCAGCGACCGGCCAAGGGCGCAGUGGACGGCGGGGGCGUCGAAGACAGCCUCGCCUCGCUCUGAGGUUGGGCCCGCUGCGCCGCCAGCCUCCUCCUCGAGCCGGAGGAAGAGGCCCUCCUCAUUCUAGAACCAGGGGCCGCAGCCCCCCUCCUCACACACCCGUCAGGCGCGGCGGUCGUGGUCACGGCUGCGGCGGCUCGACCCGUGUCGCCGUCACCUCGGAGCCACUGUCCCGCAGGGCCGCAACUCGCCAGCCGACGACAGGCCGCUGGUACCCUCUGAUGGCGGCGGAGGAAGCAACAAAGUCGCCGCCGCUCCCGCCGGGAAACCUUCUUCAAGCCCAAAUCAAGAUAGAAAGCUAUUUAUGAGAGGAAGCCUACAGCUACUAACUACAACCACUUUUGGCUGCGGCUAAUGGUGCCGCAAACCAACUGUAUUCUAUUCUGCACGCCAUCAUCAAACGUCUUCCGAGUGCUGUGUGCGAGCGAGAGAGGUAGAGAGACCGCUUAUGUGAAACGAAACGCGAUUGACAAAGAAAAAAAAAAAAAGACGCAAGAAGCAGGAGGCACCGGCCGUCCAGCGCUGCCUGGAGUCGCCCACCUCCGCUCGACCCCAGUCUGCAUGUGUAGUGUGGUGUCAUUAAGCCGCUGCAAGUAUACGCUCUUCUGCCACGAGAUGGUGUGGACACUGCUGACGGUGGUGUCGUCGUUCGCGGAGCGGUGGAGCCUUGACCAGACGCUUCGCUAGGCCGGUGUGCGUACACCACGUGCACAAACCACUCCGACGACGACGACUGCGGUGCUUGUGGUGCUUCUCCACGCGGACAGCCAGCCGGACCCGCGGUGCCGAUGACGCUGCGUACGCGUCGCUUCCGGUUCCGGUGGAGCGGAAACCCUACCGCCCCCGUGCGCGCGUGUACGCACGGCUCUCACCGGCCGCGCCUACACCAGCACCAUCACCUUCCAUCUAAUCUCUCCGCAACAUGCAAGCCCGAUAGCAGUUUGGUAUAUUCCAGCUCCUCUGUAGGGAGCAUCUCUCUUCUUUUUUUUUUUUUUCUACGCGAAGAGGAACAAAAA
rnacentral:lncRNA from 1 species